rnacentral:rRNA from 1 species
UACGUAGGUGGCAAGCGUUGUCCGGAAUUAUUGGGCGUAAAGCGCGCGCAGGCGGUCCUUUAAGUCUGAUGUGAAAGCCCACGGCUCAACCGUGGAGGGUCAUUGGAAACUGGGGGACUUGAGUGCAGAAGAGGAAAGUGGAAUUCUCGGUGUAGCGGUGAAAUGCGUAGAUAUCGAGAGGAACACCGGCGGCGAAGGCGGGUUGCUGGGCCGACACUGACGCUGAUGCGCGAAAGCCAGGGGAGCGAACGGG